UAAAACAUGAUGGCAGCUUUAACGACUCACCAUUCGGUUGUCUGAAACGAUGUUCAAAGUAACACAUUUGCCAACUCUCCUAAUUAUUGUGCUAUUUUUCUUAGCAGGUCCGUUGUCGUGCUUUGCAAAAAUGUUGGCAAUGCAGUUGAAUGGUCUGUCUUGUAAUGAGCUGAACCAGGAGACCUAUCAGGAUGGAAACGUCUGCUUUUGUUCUUCGUAUGGUAUAACUCUGUACUGUCGGCCAGAGGCUGAAAUCGUGCUUAUGUGAAUUAAAUUAUGGGGAGGGAAUUA